AUGAACGCUGGCGGCGUGCCUAAUACAUGGAAGUCGAGCGAACAGACGAGGAGCUUGCUCCUCUGACGUUAGCGGCGGACGGGUGAGUAACACGUGGAUAACCUACCUAUAAGACUGGGGUAACUUCGGGAAACCGGAGCUAAUACCGGAUAAUAUAUUGAACCGCAUGGUUCAAUAGUGAAAGACGGUUUUGCUGUCACUUAUAGAUGGAUCCGCGUCGCAUUAGCUAGUUGGUAAGGUAACGGCUUACCAAGGCAACGAUGCGUAGCCGACCUGAGAGGGUGAUCGGCCACACUGGAACUGAGACACGGUCCAGACUCCUACGGGAGGCAGCAGUAGGGAAUAUUCCGCAAUGGGCGAAAGCUUGACGGAGCAACGCCGCGUGAGUGAUGAAGGUCUUCGGAUCGUAAAGCUCUGUUAUUAGGGAAGAACAAAUGUGUAAGUAACUAUGCACGUCUUGGCGGUACCUAAUCAGAAAGCCACGGCUAACUACGUG
rnacentral:rRNA from 1 species